rnacentral:sRNA from 1 species
AUGUACCCCCCCCCCNCCCCGUCCACUGCGGUUCUGAGCGCGCCGUCCGCGCCCACCUGACAGCUGCUCGCGACGUUGUGUUAACC